AACGAACGCUGGCGGCAGGCUUAACACAUGCAAGUCGAGCGCCCCGCAAGGGGAGCGGCAGACGGGUGAGUAACGCGUGGGAAUCUACCCAUCUCUACGGAAUAACGCAUGGAAACGUGUGCUAAUACCGUAUACGUCCUUCGGGAGAAAGAUUUAUCGGAGAUGGAUGAGCCCGCGUUGGAUUAGCUAGUCGGUGGGGUAAAGGCCUACCAAGGCGACGAUCCAUAGCUGGUCUGAGAGGAUGAUCAGCCACACUGGACUGAGACACGGCCCAGACUCCUACGGGAGGCAGCAGUGGGGAAUAUUGGACAAUGGGCGCAAGCCUGAUCCAGCCAUGCCGCGUGAGUGAUGAAGGCCCUAGGGUUGUAAAGCUCUUUCACCGGUGAAGAUAAUGACGGUAACCGGAGAAGAAGCCCCGGCUAACUUCGUGCCAGCCGCCGCAGUAAUAC
rnacentral:rRNA from 1 species